GUGCUUACUUUGACAGCACAUAUGCUAAAAUUGGAAUGAUGCAGAGAAGAUUAGCAUGACCCCUGCGCAAGAAUGACAUGCAAAUUUGUGAAGCAGUCCAUAUAUUU